rnacentral:rRNA from 1 species
GAUGAGCGCUGGCGGCGUGCCUAAUACAUGCAAGUCGAGCGAACGGACGAGAAGCUUGCUUCUCUGAUGUUAGCGGCGGACGGGUGAGUAACACGUGGAUAACCUACCUAUAAGACUGGGAUAACUUCGGGAAACCGGAGCUAAUACCGGAUGAUAUUUUGAACCGCAUGGUUCAAAAGAGAAAGACGGUCUUGCUGUCACUUAUAGAUGGAUCCGCGCUGCAUUAGCUAGUUGGUAAGGUAACGGCUUACCAAGGCAACGAUGCAUAGCCGACCUGAGAGGGUGAUCGGCCACACUGGAACUGAGACACGGUCCAGACUCCUACGGGAGGCAGCAGUAGGGAAUCUUCCGCAAUGGGCGAAAGCCUGACGGAGCAACGCCGCGUGAGUGAUGAAGGUCUUCGGAUCGUAAAACUCUGUUAUUAGGGAAGAACAUAUGUGUAAGUAACUGUGCACAUCUUGACGGUACCUAAUCAGAAAGCCACGGCUAACUACGUG